AUGACAAGCAUGGAGGACCCCAAGGGAUCUCAUCCCCAGGUGCUGUUCAUGAUGCCCCCUGCUGAAAAAGGCCUGGGCAGCUUGAAGAGUGAGUUUGUGUCCAGUGCUUCCACCAGGCAGCAAGGACAGCAAGCCACACUGCCUGUCAGCCACAGUUCCAGUAGUCCAGUCCUUGUAGAAGACCAUGUCUGCUUGCUGGACUGUGUUGUUGUGGAUCUACAGGACAUGGACAUCUUUGCUGCAGAGAGACGCCCACGAGAAUACUCAAAAGCCUCUGAGGACGACAGUGGAGAUCUGAUCUUCCCCUCCUACUGUGUGCGACAGACAGGAGAAAGCCUCUUAACUGAACCUUGUAGGCUGAAAUUGCAGGUGGAAAGAAAUUUGGACAAAGAAAUAAGUCAUAGUGUCCCAGACAUAUCUAUCCACGGCAGCCUCUCCUCUGUCCACUGCUCCCUGGACCUGAGUAAAUAUAAGUUGAUCCGAGGCUUGCUAGAGAACAACCUUGGAGAGCCCAUUGAGGAAUUUAUGCGGCCUUAUGAUUUACAGGAUCCAAGAAUUCACACUGUUCUGAGUGGAGAGGUAUAUACUUGCAUGUGCUUCCUCAUUGACAUGGUCAAUGUAAGUCUGGAGCUUAAAGAUCCAAAAGGAAAAGAAGGUGCUGGAUCCCUUGCCAGGUAUGGCUUUACCAUUAUUUCAUUCCUAGGAACAGUAAUACAGAUAAUGCUCAUACAUGCAUUAGCGUAGCGUAGAGGGUGCAGGUUGGUGGUCCACAGCAGAAUGAGGUCUGUGAGUGCUUUUUGGUUGGUCCAUGGCGUGCUUAUUAUUCCUUUUUGCAGAGUUCCCAAGCUAAGCAUACUCUCUUACCACUGAGCUUUGCCCUCAGACCCCAGAAUGCUUUUUGAAAAAGUUUAAAUUUGAGGCCUUGUCAGCCAAGAUAGUUUAGGUAAUGCUUUAAUAAUGCUUUAAUAAUACCUCAAAUAUCAAUUAUUUGAAACAGUGAAGAUGUGUUUCUCUCUCAAGGUAGGCGGCUACUGUAGGUCUCAGCUGCUCUGCUUAUUUAGUCUGGGUGACAAAAUAUGGUGUUGUUUUGUUUUGUUUGUUAUUGCGUCUUGUUUUGAGAGAGGUUCUCACCGUGUUGCCCAGGCUGAUCUCAAACUCUCUGGGCUCAAGUGAUCUUCCCAUCUCAAUCUCCCACCAUCAGGUCCAUCUGGCAGGAUGUUUUAAUAUGCC
rnacentral:lncRNA from 1 species